GGAGGAAAGCAGGGGAUCGCAAGACCUUGCGCUCAUUGAGCGGCCGAUGCCUGAUUAGCUAGUUGGUGAGGUAAAGGCUUACCAAGGCGACGAUCAGUAGCUGGUCUGAGAGGACGACCAGCCACACUGGGACUGAGACACGGCCCAGACUCCUACGGGAGGCAGCAGUGGGGAAUUUUGGACAAUGGGGGAAACCCUGAUCCAGCCAUGCCGCGUGAGUGAAGAAGGCCUUCGGGUUGUAAAGCUCUUUCAGCCGGAACGAAACAGUCACGGAUAAUACCCGUGACUACUGACGGUACCGGAAGAAGAAGCACCGGCUAACUACGUGCCAGCAGCCGCGGUAAUACGUAGGGUGCGAGCGUUAAUCGGAAUUACUGGGCGUAAAGCGUGCGCAGGCGGUUUUGUACGUCAGAAGUGAAAUCCCCGGGCUUAACCUGGGAACUGCGUUUGAAACUAGAAAGCUAGAAGGGC
rnacentral:rRNA from 1 species